rnacentral:rRNA from 1 species
GGGGUGCAGCAGGCGCGAAAACUUUACAAUGCUGGCAACAGCGAUAAGGGGACCUCGAGUGCCAGGAUACAAUCUUGGCUGUCGUGAUGCCUAAAAAGCAUUGCAUAGCAAGGGCCGGGCAAGACCGGUGCCAGCCGCCGCGGUAACACCGGCGGCUCGAGUGGUAACCGCUAUUAUUGGGUCUAAAGGGUCUGUAGCCGGCCGGAUAAGUCUCUUGGGAAAUCCGACAGCUCAACUGUCGGGCUUUCAGGGGAUACUGUUCGGCUCGAGGCCGGGAGAGGUGAGAGGUACUUCAGGGGUAGGGGUGAAAUCUUGUAAUCCUUGAAGGACCACCAGUGGCGAAGGCGUCUCACCAGAACGGUCCUGACGGCAAGGGACGAAAGCUAGGGGCACGAACCGGAUUAGAUACCCGGGUAGUCCUAGCCGUAAACGAUACUCGCUAGGUGUCGGCCACGGUGCGACCGUGGUCGGUGCCGUAGGGAAGCCGUGAAGCGAGCCACCUGGGAAGUACGGCCGCAAGGCUGAAACUUAAAGGAAUUGGCGGGGGAGCAC